rnacentral:lncRNA from 1 species
CAACAUUUAAGAAUCAUGAACUCACUCCUAGGACUGCCAAGCCAAAUGUAGUUAAAUGAUUACUGGACCCAAGGCAAAAGGGGGUUGGCAUUAGGCUAGUGUGGGUGAAUUAAGGGAUUUCUUGCAUUUUUGUAAGCAGCUAGCUAUUCUGUGAAGAGAUGUUGUAUUAAAUAUGUGUUUCACUGUAGGUUUCCAAUGCAAGAUCUUGAGAACAUGCAGAGCCUUAUGCUUUCCAAGCAAAUAAUAAUAAUCUUUAGCUCCAUUUUAUUGUUUAUCAGAACCAGCUUAUGGCUUUGUCUCAGAACAAUUCUGAAAACACAAUUCAAAGCUUUGAAUGGUUAAUUUACAGUGGACUGAAGCUUCACAUAUCUGACGAAUGCAGGGUAAGAAGUGCUCAGAGUAUAGCUAUUCUCUUCCGUAAGGGCUCUACAGACAUAUCCAGAUCUACCACAUAGGAACAAAUAUUGUUUGAAAGCAUCAAUACUUUACAAAGGAGGCAUCUGUCAGCAUUAACACUGAUUGUAAGACGCUAAAACUUUAGGAGUCACACUAUCUCAGCAGAUACAACCUUUCUAUUACCAUACCACUAUAGAAUACAAUUUUGAAUUCAUACACUAUACCGCUAUGCCAGGCCCCACUUGAGAUCUUCAUUCUUCCCGGAAAAAAUCUUAGUGUUUCCAGAGCACUUAGCUAUUUGUUUGCCAAAUAGCAUUGUCUCAUUCUUUGAUUAGUAUUAUUGUUCUGAAGAAACAUAUAAUAUGGGAAACUGUAAUUGUUUUCAUAGAAUGAUUCACUUCUCUGUGCAGAAAUUAUGUUGUGUCCUAUUGGUAACUGUGUGCAUCACAUCCUUCAAACACCAGAAGGAUAUUGUCUCUGUAGUAACUGCAUGAUUGUUGUUAAUUGCUGUUUUCCUGCAGUUACAACUAUAGCAAUUGCAAUUGCUUAACGUGCAAAAGCAUUACUGGGGAAGAAUGCAGUUUACAUUUAUCUUCAUUAAUAGAAUCCAGUAUUUGGAAAUGAGGAGCAACCAUCAUGCUGUGUUCAUUUGUUCCUUUGGGGCGUAUGAACAUCUGCUUACUAUGCUGUCCUAUAGAGACAAUUAUUCCACCAUCACAAUUUCCAUGAUGUUAUGUGGCAGAAAAAUGCAGCACGUAAGAUGUUUGAAGUUAUUUAAUCUUUCCAUUCUUCGAGGAAGAAGUCUGGUACCCAGAAUUCAGUUAUGACUUCAGAAGGAACAAUUGUCUCUGUGUGCCUAAUUGACUACUUUUAACAUGCUUCUGAAAGGUAUGAAUAGGAUAACAUACAAUACGUAAAGAUAACAGCAGAGAAUAUCAGGGGUC